GAUGAAGAACGCAGCGAAAUGCGAUAAGUAGUGUGAAUUGCAGAAUCCCGUGAACCAUCGAGUCUUUGAACGCAAGUUGCGCCUCAAGCCAUUAGGUUGAGGGCACGUCUGCCUGGGCGUCACAUAUCGUUGCCUGAUGCCAGUUUCCUCGUGAUGGGUGACUGUGCAGGGCGAAUGAUGGCUUCCCGUGAGCAUUGUUGCCUCAUGGUUGGUUGAAAAUUGAGUCCUUGGUAGGGAGCGCCGUGAUAGAUGGUGGUUGAGUGACGAACGAGACCCAAUCAUGUGAGACCCCUACCGAAUUUGGCCUUCAUGACCCACAUGCGUCUUUGGAACGCUCAUGACGAGACCUCAGGUCAGGCGGGGCUACCCGCUGAGUUUAAGCAUAUCAAUAAGCGGAGGA
rnacentral:misc_RNA from 1 species